UUAAAAAUUAUGAAUGCCGGCAUUCUUGAAGAGGAACACUGUGAGUCUGUAAUAUCGAAAAGAUCCCUGCAUAUUUUCUUAAAAGUUGAAAAGGAGUGUCUUUCAUCCCCAAGUCUCCAUAUCUGACGCCUGUGUUGCCUGGAGGAGUGGCUCCGAGCAACACCACAUAGCUAGAGAACCAGGUCUUCAGUGGGCUUCUCUGGGGGCUAUGUGCCUUUUUGAAGUGGCUAAUAAACAACACAAAACAAAGUAAAGAUUGAAAGA